rnacentral:rRNA from 1 species
UCGAAUCCGAAAAGCAGACCCGAGAACAUGUUUGAAUGAAUCCGUGGACAUGAUGUCGGAUGCCUCUGCGUCCGACAUGGUGGCCCGCGACCCACCCCAGACGGCUCUAGUCGCUUGGGCGUGUGCUCUAACUAACCUCUCGGCGCGGCAAGCGCCAAGGAAAACCAAACGGAUCGCCUCUCCCCGUGCGGGUGGUACCCGACACGUGGGUGGGGGAGCAUCUAUCGAAAUAGUCGUAACGACUCUCGGCAACGGAUAUCUCGGCUCUCGCAUCGAUGAAGAACGUAGCGAAAUGCGAUACUUGGUGUGAAUUGCAGAAUCCCGUGAACCAUCGAGUCUUUGAACGCAAGUUGCGCCCGAAGCCAUCAGGCCGAGGGCACGUCUGCCUGGGCGUCACGCAACUCGUCGCCCCCCAACAUCGUCCUCCCCGCAUGCACACGUGCGUGCUGUCGGGAGCGAUGCAUGAGGAGUGGGGGUGGAAAUUGGCCUCCCGUCACCGGAGUGUGGCGGCCGGCCCAAAUAGGAAAGCCGUGGCGAUGGAUGUCGCACGAUACGUGGUGGUUGGAUCGCUCAACACGAAAACUGUCGCGCGGGACCAUCGGCCCACCGGCACGACCCAACGGCAUCGAAAGUGCCCACGACUGUA